rnacentral:rRNA from 1 species
GACGAACGCUGGCGGCGUGCUUAACACAUGCAAGUCGAACGGAAAGGCCCUGCUUUUGUGGGGUGCUCGAGUGGCGAACGGGUGAGUAACACGUGAGUAACCUGCCCUUGACUUUGGGAUAACUUCAGGAAACUGGGGCUAAUACCGGAUAGGAGCUCCUGCUGCAUGGUGGGGGUUGGAAAGUUUCGGCGGUUGGGGAUGGACUCGCGGCUUAUCAGCUUGUUGGUGGGGUAGUGGCUUACCAAGGCUUUGACGGAUAGCCGGCCUGAGAGGGUGACCGGCCACAUUGGGACUGAGAUACGGCCCAGAGUCCUACGGGGGGCAGCAGUGGGGAAUAUUGCACAAUGGGCGGAAGCCUGAUGCAGCAACGCCGCGUGCGGGAUGACGGCCUUCGGGUUGUAAACCGCUUUCGCCUGUGACGAAGCGUGAGUGACGGUAAUGGGUAAAGAAGCACCGGCUAACUACGUG